rnacentral:rRNA from 1 species
UACGUAGGGAGCAAGCGUUGUCCGGAAUCAUUGGGCGUAAAGCGCGCGUAGGCGGCCCCGUAAGUCCGCUGUGAAAGUCAAAGGCUCAACCUUUGAAAGCCGGUGGAUACUGUCGGGCUAGAGUCCGGAAGAGGCGAGUGGAAUUCCUGGUGUAGCGGUGAAAUGCGCAGAUAUCAGGAGGAACACCAAUGGCGAAGGCAGCUCGCUGGGACGGUACUGACGCUGAGACGCGAAAGCGUGGGGAGCAAACAGG